rnacentral:rRNA from 1 species
CCUACGGGGGGCAGCAGUGAGGAAUAUUGGUCAAUGGACGCAAGUCUGAACCAGCCAUGCCGCGUGCAGGAAGACGGCUCUAUGAGUUGUAAACUGCUUUUGUACGGGGGUAAACGCAGAUACGCGUAUCUGUCUGAAAGUAUCGUGCGAAUAAGGAUCGGCUAACUCCGUGCCAGCAGCCGCGGUAAUACGGAGGAUUCAAGCGUUAUCCGGAUUUAUUGGGUUUAAAGGGUGCGUAGGCGGUCGGAUAAGUCAGAGGUGAAAUCCCGGGGCUCAACUUCGGAAUUGCCUCUGAUACUGUGCGGCUAGAGAGUAGUUGAGGUAGGCGGAAUGUAUGGUGUAGUGGUGAAAUGCUUAGAGAUCAUACAGAACACCGAUUGCGAAGGCAGCUUACCAAGCUACUUCUGACGUUGAGGCACGAAAGCGUGGGGAGCAAACAGGAUUAGAUACCCGAGUAGUC